rnacentral:rRNA from 1 species
UACGUAGGGUGCAAGCGUUAAUCGGAAUUACUGGGCGUAAAGCGUGCGCAGGCGGUUUUGUAAGUCUGACGUGAAAUCCCCGGGCUCAACCUGGGAAUUGCGUUGGAGACUGCAAGGCUAGAAUCUGGCAGAGGGGGGUAGAAUUCCACGUGUAGCAGUGAAAUGCGUGGAGAUGUGGAGGAACACCGAUGGCGAAGGCAGCCCCCUGG